GAUGAACGCUGGCGGCGUGCUUAAUACAUGCAAGUCGAACGGACAGGCCCUGAUCUUGUUGGGUGCUCGAGAGGCGCGCGGGGGAGUAACACGUGAGUAACAUGCACUUAUAUGUGGGAUAACAUCAGGGAACUGGGGCUAAUACCCGAUAGGAGAUCCUGAUGCGUAGUGUUGGUUGGAGAGAUUCGGCGGUUGGGGAUGGACUCGCGGCUUAUCAGCUGGUUGGGGUGGUAGUGGCGUACCAAGGCUUUGAAGGGUAGCCGACCUGAGAGGGUGACCGGCCACAUUGGUACUGAGGGACGGCGCAGAAGGCUACCGUCGGCAGAAGGGGGAAACAUUGCGCAAUGGGCCCAAGCCAGAUGCAGAAACGUCGCGUGCGGAAAGACCUGCUUCUGGUUGUAAACCGCUUUGUAAUGUGACGAGGCGUGAUUGACGGUAAUUAGUCAAGAAGCACCGGCUAACUACGUG
rnacentral:rRNA from 1 species